AACACAUGCAAGUCGAACGAGAAAGCGGACUUCGGUCUGUGAGUACAGUGGCAGACGGGUGAGUAACACGUGGGUAACCUGCCCGGAGUGGGGGACAACGUUCCGAAAGGGACGCUAAUACCGCAUAACAUCUCGAGCACUUCGGUGCUUGAGAUCAAAGCUUGCCUCUUCUUGAAAGCAAGCGCCACCGGAGGGACCCGCGCCCCAUUAGCUUGUUGGUGAGGUAACGGCUCACCAAGGCUCCGAUGGGUAGCCGGCCUGAGAGGGUGAUCGGCCACACUGGAACUGAGACACGGUCCAGACUCCUACGGGAGGCAGCAGUCGAGAGGCUUCGGCAAUGGGAGAAACCCUGACCGAGCGACGCCGCGUGAGGGAUGAAGCCCCUCGGGGUGUAAACCUCUUUUCUGAGGGAAGAACCCUAUGAGGACGAAUAAGACUCAUAGCUGACGGUACCUCAGGAAUAAGCUCCGGCUAACUCCGUG
rnacentral:rRNA from 1 species